rnacentral:rRNA from 1 species
CCUACGGGAUGCAGCAGUGAGGAAUAUUGGUCAAUGGACGAGAGUCUGAACCAGCCAAGUAGCGUGAAGGAUGACUGCCCUAUGGGUUGUAAACUUCUUUUAUAUGGGAAUAAAACGUUCCACGUGUGGGAUUUUGUAUGUACCAUAUGAAUAAGGAUCGGCUAACUCCGUGCCAGCAGCCGCGGUAAUACGGAGGAUCCGAGCGUUAUCCGGAUUUAUUGGGUUUAAAGGGAGCGUAGGUGGAUUGUUAAGUCAGUUGUGAAAGUUUGCGGCUCAACCGUAAAAUUGCAGUUGAAACUGGCAGUCUUGAGUACAGUAGAGGUGGGCGGAAUUCGUGGUGUAGCGGUGAAAUGCUUAGAUAGCACGAAGAACUCCGAUUGCGAAGGCAGUUCACUGGACUGCAACUGACACUGAGGCUCGAAAGUGUGGGUAUCAAACAGGAUUAGAUACCCGAGUAGUC